rnacentral:rRNA from 1 species
UCUGCCUACGGGACGCAGCAGUGAGGAAUAUUGGUCAAUGGGCGCGAGCCUGAACCAGCCCAGUCGCGUGAGGGAAGACGGUCCUAUGGAUUGUAAACCUCUUUUGUCGGGGAGCAAAAGACGCCACGCGUGGCGUUCCGAGAGUACCCGAAGAAAAAGCAUCGGCUAACUCCGUGCCAGCAGCCGCGGUAUUACGGAGGAUACGAGCGUUAUCCGGAUUUAUUGGGUUUACAGGGAGCGCAGGCGGA